rnacentral:ncRNA from 1 species
GUCAUUGUGAUAGUAAUCCUGCUCAGUACGAGCGGAACCGCAGGUUCGGACACUUGGUUCAUGUGCUUGGUUGAAAGACCAGUGGUGCGAAGCUACCAUCCCUGGGAUUACGACUAAACGCCUCUAAGUCAGAAUUCCGUCUAAGCAGAGCAAUGAUAUCGUGCGCACUUGCUGCGUUUACAGGUGAAGUUAGAGUUUCUCGGGUCGAUCGCGGCGGGAUGCCGCGAUUCCCGGCUCGACGACGCCGCAUUAGUCGUUCGCCGAAGUAACGGUGCGAGCCACGCUCCCAUGCACUCGUUUUGGGUGUGAACCGCUGCGGUGUCAAAUCGUCUGUAGACGACUUAGGUACCUGUCGUGGGAUCGUAAUUAGUAGAGGAGCCAUCGCACUGCGAUCUAUUGAGCCUCAGCCUCCACUAUCU